UAGGGAAUCUUCGGCAAUGGGGGCAACCCUGACCGAGCAACGCCGCGUGAGUGAAGAAGGUUUUCGGAUCGUAAAGCUCUGUUGUAAGAGAAGAACGAGUGUGAGAGUGGAAAGUUCACACUGUGACGGUAUCUUACCAGAAAGGGACGGCUAACUACGUGCCAGCAGCCGCGGUAAUACGUAGGUCCCGAGCGUUGUCCGGAUUUAUUGGGCGUAAAGCGAGCGCAGGCGGUUAGAUAAGUCUGAAGUUAAAGGCUGUGGCUUAACCAUAGUACGCUUUGGAAACUGUUAACUUGAGUGCAGAAGGGAGAGUGGAAUUCCAUGUGUAGCGGUGAAAUGCGUAGAUAUAUGGAGGAACACCGGUGGCGAAAGCGGCUCUCUGGUCUGUAACUGACGCUGAGGCUCGAAAGCGUGGGGGGCGAACAGGAUUAGAUACCCUGGUAGUCCACGCCGUAAAACGAUGAGUGCUAGGGUGUUAGGCCCCUUUCCGGGGCUUAGUGCCGCAGCUAACGCAUUAAGCACUCCGCCUGGGGGAGUACGACCGCAAGGUUGAAACUCAAAUGAAUUGACGGGGGUCAUAGCUGUUUCCUG
rnacentral:rRNA from 1 species